UGAAGAACCAGGUUUUUUUUGUUAUCAUAUUUCAACUUGUAUGCAACAUAUCCGACGUUGAGUGAUAUAAUCGCGUGUCAAAUGCACACUGUAUGAAAUUCACUAAUUAAAAGAUAACGGACGCCGGCGUUGUAAAUAUCGCGAUGUUUAUUCGAUUUUCGCUGCGUUAUCUAUGGUGUAUCAGUAGUGUUUCCUCGUCAGGCAUGUUCAGAUCGUAGAUUCCGCGCACGCCGUGCGCGCAUUAAGCCUUUUUCAGUUCAUUUACGGCGCGCGCGCGCACCUUUACCUUACAAAAGAAAACGCAGAAGCUGAAGCUUGAAGUAAUUCAAUAUGUUUUCAAGAUCCGAUGAUACCGUGUUGUAAUUCCGCAUGAAUGCAGGAUGUUACGAUCCAAUCGAAUGCACUUAACGCAAAGUGGUUUGUUAUCAUUGAAGUUGUAACCUCUGAGUGUUUUCGGGUUGUUAUCAACUCCACAACCACUGUGUCCUCGUUAGCGCCGGACCACAUUAAAGCGGUCUUCUUUACUCCUUCGGUUUUUACGAUAAGAACGCCCGCGGUGCCCACUUUAUCGAAACCUUUAAUACAUUUUCAGUUUCGUGUGCAUUAACGCCGCCAGCCUCUUCUUCUCCGACAUAAUAACCACAAACAACCGGCGACGAUAUGAUAUGAUACAAUAUAUGCUCUCGAGCAAAGUGAAAUCUUGGAACUGAAUGGAUCCCGGCGUGAACAGCAACAUAAUGAUGAGCCACUCGCCACCGCCAUCAAUUCACUACCUUUAUGUGUGUUUGUUUAUCCCUCGACAAUAAAAGUGCUUUCAGGAAACUGCAUAAAAGCUUUCGAUGAUAAGCUUUUUAAGUACACUUAACAUUUAUAUACAUCAGUAUAUAAUAUCACCAAGAGCAAGAAUGUAAUUCAAUAAAUACCUAAAUCAAUUCCAUAAAAAAA